GGAGCACACAGAAGAGAAGUGGCCACAAUCUCACUGGCCAGUCUUGCCUGUAGCUACCGUCUUGUCAUCAACGUGUGUUCCUGGAUUUUCUGCUGCAAACAGUGUGUCUUAUGGUCCAGGACAUGGAGUAUCUUUGUGAACAUCACAUUUAAGCUGGAGAAGAAUGUGCAGUCUGCCGUUUUUGGAUGGAGUAUUUUAGAAAUUUGUCAAUGAGAUCAAGUUGAUUGAUUGAGCAUGCCAUUCAGGGCAACUGUAUCCUGACUGAUUUUCUGUCUGCUUCAUCUAUCAAGUCCUGAAAGAGGUGUGUUGAAGUCUUCAACUACAAGAGUGGAUUUUGUCCAUUUCUCCUUGAAUUACAUCAGUUUUUGCCUCACAUAUUUUGCUGUUCUUUUGUUCAAAAAUAAUAAAGCUAUUUUAACUUCCUAUUGAUUAGUGUUAGCAAGGUGUAUCUUUCCUCAUCCCUUUGUUCUUAACAUAUCUGAGUCUUUAUAUUUAAAGGGGA
rnacentral:lncRNA from 1 species